CUUCUCACUACAUCCUCGCGACUAAUGACAAUCCUUAUCUCAAGCCUGAGACAAAGCCUCUCAUUAGCCGCGCGAACCUCUGUAAUGGAAGAUCCUAUUUGGAAACAUCAGUAAUACAUUAACCUGAUUUGCUUAUGCUUCCUAGAAGAAAGGGGCCAAAAUAGGCCCCUUUCC
rfam:Hammondia hammondi strain H.H.34 contig01940, whole genome shotgun sequence.